rnacentral:rRNA from 1 species
GACGAACGCUGGCGGCGUGCUUAACACAUGCAAGUCGAACGGAAAGGCCCUGCUUUUGUGGGGUGCUCGAGUGGCGAACGGGUGAGUAACACGUGAGUAACCUGCCCUUGACUUUGGGAUAACUUCAGGAAACUGGGGCUAAUACCGGAUAGGAGCUCCUGCUGCAUGGUGGGGGUUGGAAAGUUUCGGCGGUUGGGGAUGGACUCGCGGCUUAUCAGCUUGUUGGUGGGGUAGUGGCUUACCAAGGCUUUGACGGGUAGCCGGCCUGAGAGGGUGACCGGCCACAUUGGGACUGAGAUACGGCCCAGACUCCUACGGGGGGCAGCAGUGGGGAAUAUUGCACAAUGGGCGGAAGCAUGAUGCAGCAACGCCGCGUGCGGGAUGACGGCCUUCGGGUUGUAAACCGCUUUCGCCUGUGACGAAGCGUGAGUGACGGUAAUGGGUAAAGAAGCACCGGCUAACUACGUG